rnacentral:rRNA from 1 species
CCUACGGGUGGCAGCAGUGGGGAAUAUUGCACAAUGGGCGCAAGCCUGAUGCAGCCAUGCCGCGUGUGUGAAGAAGGCCUUCGGGUUGUAAAGCACUUUCAGCGGGGAGGAAGGCGGUGAGGUUAAUAACCUCAUCGAUUGACGUUACCCGCAGAAGAAGCACCGGCUAACUCCGUGCCAGCAGCCGCGGUAAUACGGAGGGUGCAAGCGUUAAUCGGAAUUACUGGGCGUAAAGCGCACGCAGGCGGUCUGUCAAGUCGGAUGUGAAAUCCCCGGGCUCAACCUGGGAACUGCAUUCGAAACUGGCAGGCUAGAGUCUUGUAGAGGGGGGUAGAAUUCCAGGUGUAGCGGUGAAAUGCGUAGAGAUCUGGAGGAAUACCGGUGGCGAAGGCGGCCCCCUGAACAAAGACUGACGCUCAGGUGCGAAGGCGUGGGGAGCAAACAGGAUUAGAUACCCGAGUAGUC